rnacentral:rRNA from 1 species
CGCACUAGUCACUUUGCCUAUAUGGUAAAUGUGAGAUGCAGUGUAUGGGAUAUCAAAUUUCUAGUAUGAUAUAUUGACGAUUUAAGUCCUUCUUAAAUGAGGCCAUUUACCCAUAGAGGGUGCUAGGCCCGUAUAACGUUAAUGAUUACUAGAUGAUAUUUCCAAAGAGUCGUGUUGCUUGAUAGUGCAGCACUAAGUGGGUGGUAAACUCCAUCUAAAACUAAAUAUAACCAUGAGACCGAUAGUAAACAAGUACCGUGAGGGAAAGUUGAAAAGAACUCUGAAUAGAGAGUUAAAUAGUACGUGAAACUGCUUAGAGGUUAAGCCCGAUGAACCUGAAUAUCCAUUAUAGAAAAUUCAUCAUCAUGAUAAUAAUAUUUAUUACAUAUUAUUUAUAAUGGUGUGCAUUUUUUCUAUUAAGGACAUUGUAAUCUAUUAAUAUAAAAAUUAUAUAUUUAUCAUAAGAUCAUAAUGCUUAAAAGAUUAUUUAAAUUAUUUUGCUUGCAAUAUAACAUAGAAUAAAAGCAUUUGAUUUGAUAAAGUGUUGAUAGAUUUAUAAAAUAUGGUGCUUAAAUAUAAAUUAAUGUAUUUUAUAAUAGCAUACAUAAAUAAUUACAUUUAUUAUGUUUAUUAUAUGCACUAUAUAUGAUUAACAAUGCGAAAGAUUCAGGAUACCUUCGGGACCCGUCUUGAAACACGGACCAAGGAGUCUAACAUAUUUGCAAGUUAUUGGGAAUAAAAACCUAAUAGCGUAAUUAACAUAACUUAAUAUAUAUGGGAUUAGUUUUUAGUCUAUUUUUUUUAAAAUAGCCUAUUAAUUCAAUCCCGGGGCGUUCUAUCCAGUUAUGUAUAAUAAUAUAUUCAUAUUAUUUAUACCUCUAACUUGAGCGUACCUUGAGCAUAUAUGCUGUGACCCGAAAGAUGGUGAACUAUACUUGAUCAGGUUGAAGUCAGGGGAAACCCUGAUGGAAGACCGAAACAGUUCUGACGUGCAAAUCGAUUGUCAGAAUUGAGUAUAGGGGCGAAAGACCAAUCGAACCAUCUAGUAGCUGGUUCCCUCCGAAGUUUCCCUCAGGAUAGCUGGUGCAUUUAAAAAUUAUAAGAUAUAAUCUUAUCUGGUAAAGCGAAUGAUUAGAGGCCUUAGGGUCGAAACGACCUUAACCUAUUCUCAAACUUUAAAUGGGUAAGAACCUCACCUUUCUUGGUAUGAAGGUUGUGGUUAUGAUAUAAUGUGCCCAGUGGGCCACUUUUGGUAAGCAGAACUGGCGCUGUGGGAUGAACCAAACGUAAUGUUACGGUGCCCAAAUUAACAACUCAUGCAGAUACCAUGAAAGGCGUUGGUUGCUUAAAA